CCCUUAGAUGUUCUGGGCUGCACGCGUGCUACAAUGAAGCGUCCAACAAGAUGCGAAGCCGAAAGGCUCAGCGGAUCUUUGAAGUCGUUUCGUGACCGGGACAGUUGAUUGCAAUUAUUCGACUCGAACGAGGAAUUCCUUGUAAUCGCGAUUCAUCAUAUCGCGCUGAAUACGUCCCUGCCCUUUGUACACACCGCCCGUCGCUCCUACCGAUUGAGCGAUCCGGUGAAUUAUUUGGAGUGUCCACGCAAGCCAAUCCGUUUACGUGGGUGCGAAAUUUUGUAAACCUUAUCGCUUAGAGGAAGGAAAGGUCGUAACA
rnacentral:rRNA from 1 species